UCGAGCGAACAGACGAGGAGCUUGCUCCUCUGACGUUAGCGGCGGACGGGUGAGUAACACGUGGAUAACCUACCUAUAAGACUGGGAUAACUUCGGGAAACCGGAGCUAAUACCGGAUAAUAUAUUGAACCGCAUGGUUCAAUAGUGAAAGACGGUUUUGCUGUCACUUAUAGAUGGAUCCGCGCCGCAUUAGCUAGUUGGUAAGGUAACGGCUUACCAAGGCAACGAUGCGUAGCCGACCUGAGAGGGUGAUCGGCCACACUGGAACUGAGACACGGUCCAGACUCCUACGGGAGGCAGCAGUAGGGAAUCUUCCGCAAUGGGCGAAAGCCUGACGGAGCAACGCCGCGUGAGUGAUGAAGGUCUUCGGAUCGUAAAACUCUGUUAUUAGGGAAGAACACAUGUGUAAGUAACUAUGCACGUCUCGACGGUACCUAAUCAGAAAGCCACGGCUAACUACGUGCCAGCAGCCGCGGUAAUACGUAGGUGGCAAGCGUUAUCCGGAAUUAUUGGGCGUAAAGCGCGCGUAGGCGGUUUUUUAAGUCUGAUGUGAAAGCCCACGGCUCAACCGUGGAGGGUCAUUGGAAACUGGAAAACUUGAGUGCAGAAGAGGAAAGUGGAAUUCCAUGUGUAGCGGUGAAAUGCGCAGAGAUAUGGAGGAACACCAGUGGCGAAGGCGACUUUCUGGUCUGUA
rnacentral:rRNA from 1 species